GGGGAAUUUUGGACAAUGGGCGCAAGCCUGAUCCAGCCAUGCCGCGUGUCUGAAGAAGGCCUUCGGGUUGUAAAGGACUUUUGUCAGGGAAGAAAAGGCUGUUGCUAAUAUCGACAGCUGAUGACGGUACCUGAAGAAUAAGCACCGGCUAACUACGUGCCAGCAGCCGCGGUAAUACGUAGGGUGCGAGCGUUAAUCGGAAUUACUGGGCGUAAAGCGAGCGCAGACGGUUACUUAAGCAGGAUGUGAAAUCCCCGGGCUCAACCUGGGAACUGCGUUCUGAACUGGGUGACUAGAGUGUGUCAGAGGGAGGUAGAAUUCCACGUGUAGCAGUGAAAUGCGUAGAGAUGUGGAGGAAUACCGAUGGCGAAGGCAGCCUCCUGGGAUAACACUGACGUUCAUGCUCGAAAGCGUGGGUAGCAAACAGGAUUAGAUACCCUGGUAGUCCACGCCCUAAACGAUGUCAAUUAGCUGUUGGGCAACUUGAUUGCUUAGUAGCGUAGCUAACGCGUGAAAUUGACCGCCGGGGGAGUACGGUCGCAAGAUUA
rnacentral:rRNA from 1 species